rnacentral:rRNA from 1 species
AUUGAACGCUGGCGGCAUGCCUUACACAUGCAAGUCGAACGGUAACAGGUCUUCGGAUGCUGACGAGUGGCGAACGGGUGAGUAAUACAUCGGAACGUGCCUAGUAGUGGGGGAUAACUACUCGAAAGAGUAGCUAAUACCGCAUGAGAUCUACGGAUGAAAGCAGGGGAUCGCAAGACCUUGUGCUACUGGAGCGGCCCAUGGCAGAUUAGGUAGUUGGUGGGAUAAAAGCUUACCAAGCCGACGAUCUGUAGCUGGUCUGAGAGGACGAUCAGCCACACUGGGACUGAGACACGGCCCAGACUCCUACGGGAGGCAGCAGUGGGGAAUUUUGGACAAUGGGCGCAAGCCUGAUCCAGCAAUGCCGCGUGCAGGAUGAAGGCCUUCGGGUUGUAAACUGCUUUUGUACGGAACGAAAAGCCCCGGGUUAAUACCCUGGGGUCAUGACGGUACCGUAAGAAUAAGCACCGGCUAACUACGUGCCAGCCGCCGCCGUAA